ACCCCCUACACUUGCAAUCUCUCAUUAUUUCAAGAGUCAGUUGUGUCUCUCCAACAGGUUCGUUCCUCGAGCAAGGAACCUUGUCACGAUUGUUUUAUUUCACACCAAAUGCCUCAUAUGUUGCUGGUGCUGCUCUCAUCCAGAAAGUUCAGUGAAUUCUUGCCAGAGGUGUUUUAAGUUCUGUGCAUUGAGAUGGGCUGUUUCCCACUUUGUAGCUAUAUAAUGAACAACAAAAUACUGACUUUCAAAACAAGCUUUCAUUUUUGACUUCCAGAAAUAUGAAACUGAUAGCAACAAGUCCUGUUGUUCAGCCCUGCUGUAAAUUUCCAAGCCAGUUAUAGUGUCCAAAGAAGUGUCCUUUAUUGUUUCAUUGUUAGAUAAAUCUGUGCAAUUCGUUUAAUUAUUUAUUGUUUGUAUUAUUUGUUUCACUGUUAAUCAAUAUAUUAACUUGCUGUGUA